rnacentral:rRNA from 1 species
UACGGGGGGAGCAAGCGUUGUUCGGAUUUACUGGCGUAAAGGGCGCGUAGGCGGUGCGGUAAGUCACUUGUGAAAUCUCUGAGCUUAACUCAGAACGGCCAAGUGAUACUGCAGUACUAGAGUGCGGAAGGGCAAUCGGAAUUCUUGGUGUAGCGGUGAAAUGCGUAGAUAUCAAGAGGAACACCUGAGGUGAAGACGGGUUGCUGGGCCGACACUGACGCUGAUGCGCGAAAGCCAGGGGAGCAAACGGG